UAGAAGGAGCUUGCUCCUUUGAGACCGGCGCACGGGUGCGUAACGCGUAUGCAAUCUACCUUAUACAGGGGGAUAGCCCAGAGAAAUUUGGAUUAAUACCCCAUAGUAUAGUUGAAUGGCAUCAUUUGACUAUUAAAGUUCCAACGGUAUAAGAUGAGCAUGCGUCCCAUUAGCUAGUUGGUGUGGUAACGGCACACCAAGGCAACGAUGGGUAGGGGUCCUGAGAGGGAGAUCCCCCACACUGGUACUGAGACACGGACCAGACUCCUACGGGAGGCAGCAGUGAGGAAUAUUGGUCAAUGGGCGCAAGCCUGAACCAGCCAUGCCGCGUGCAGGAUGACGGUCCUAUGGAUUGUAAACUGCUUUUGUACAGGAAGAAACACUCCCUCGUGAGGGAGCUUGACGGUACUGUAAGAAUAAGGAUCGGCUAACUCCGUGCCAGCAGCCGCGGUAAUACGGAGGAUCCAAGCGUUAUCCGGAAUCAUUGGGUUUAAAGGGUCCGUAGGCGGUUUUAUAAGUCAGUGGUGAAAUCUGGUCGCUCAACGAUCAAACGGCCAUUGAUACUGUAAGACUUGAAUUACUUGGAAGUAACUAGAAUAUGUAGUGUAGCGGUGAAAUGCUUAGAGAUUACAUGGAAUACCAAUUGCGAAGGCAGGUUACUACAAGUAUAUUGACGCUGAUGGACGAAAGCGUGGGGAGC
rnacentral:rRNA from 1 species